CAUACACACUGCCCCAGAGCAGGUAUGACAUGUUCCUAACACAAAGCUGGGGGAGGAAGUGGUUUGAAUCCCACAUCUUGAUUUACCAAGCGGGGUAGUCACUCUUCGAAGUUUCUUCCUCAGCUUGGGGCCAGCCCAGACUGCAUGUGGUUUCCUCUCACUGUGUGUGCCUGCAUGUGUGUGUGUGUGUACAAAUGUGCAUGUGUGUUAGUUAUUUGCCUUUUACUGGCUCCGGGGUUUCUGUCCACCAGAGGAGCCCAGGGCUCUCUCUCAGACCUGCCCAACCUGCCGAGAAGUUCUGGGACCCAGCUGGAUGCCAGUGGACACCCCACCGGCUGCCCCAGAAUGCACUGAAAGUCAUUGAGAGGCACUGCUCCAACAGGACAAUUAUUUCUCGAGGAAGGGGAGAUUUGGCAUCCAGAUGCAGUUCUCCAAACCCAUCGCUGGCAACCCUCCACACCUCGCUGGGCCUCAGUUUCCCACUUCUUUUUGGAGACCACCAGGGUCUACGUCAUCCUACCUCACGGGUUGGUACAAGGCUUGAGGGGCUGGGAGAGAUGUGAGAUGCCCAUUCAACCCGUUCCAGUUGAUCCUUACAUGAGCACCCACAGUGACCGGAUUUGGGCUCUGUGCAAGUGUCAUGCCAGACUCUGAGACCCGCAGGUGGCAAGACUACCCUCCACCCCUGUCAGCUCACAGGCUGUUCUUGAUUCUACAAGUGGACUUCAGGUCAGUGUGUUUUUUUGUGCCCGUGUCCUAGAGCCCGCUCGCCUGUGAAUUUUUGGUGAUGGGGUUUGUAACAUGCUUGCCUCCUCCUCCGCCCGCUGCCGCCCCUUUCCCAAUUUCCCAACCCCUGCAGCACUCGCUCUGCAGGAGAAGGGGGACCUAACACCCCCGUCCAUAUGGCAGUUGGAGCCAAAGAUCAGAGGAGUGAGUGGUUUACCAAGACUGCAUAGCAAGAUGGUGGCCAGGGCUCCUGCCUUUCUUUUUAAUAUCUUAUCAAAAUUUAAUGUAUGUUUAUCCUUAACAUGUGGAAUAGUAUAAAAAAUUGCACACUGAAUAACUGAUGUUCAUUAAGCACCCCCCCCCCAAAAAAAAGGAAAAAAAAGGAGGAUUUUUGCAUUGUUUCAGCUACAUUAUUGGAAAUACAAAUCUGCAGACUUGGUCACGGGAGAAAAAUCUGAAUUGUGUUUCUUUAUCAGGGAUUUCAACUGCACUCAGGACUUUUUCACACCCCAGUUAGAAAGAAAACACAACAAUAACCAAAAGCAGGAAAAAAAAAAAAUCAACCAGAAGUUCCUUGGCUCCUGAGACGGUAAGGGCUGGUCUCUGUGGUGCCAAGAGAGGUAAUGUCUGGCAAGAGAUUAAAUGGCUGUGUCUCACUUUGUGCCAGUCACCAACUUGCUAACUCAUGAAACUACAAAAGGGGUGGCUGGGAGUGGACCAAAUGGUAGGCACCCAGAGGCUGUGUGCAGCAGGGACAACACAUGUACACACAGAAUUCAUUUCUUUCCCAUCAAUGUCCCCAAAGCAGAGAGACCAGGGACACUCCAAGCUUGAGUGCCCAGGACAGGCACUGUGUCACUGGCAUGGCUGGGCUGCCCCUGGCAUCACAUCACUUGUUGGGGGAGAGGGUUCAGGAGGCCUCCUGGGGGGGGCCUUCCCAGAGCCUCUGUGCACCAAGUCUGAAGGACCUGGAUCUCUGUGUCAUCCAAGGCCCGUUCGGGGGCAGGCAGGACACCCUGCCUGGCCUGGCCUUCCUGCCCUUCGUCACGACAGGGGAGAGGCCUCAUCUCUGGCUUUCCCCAAACACUCUGUCCUUGAGUGCUUCCACAGAGGUCACCAGCUGGAGAGUUGGGGGCUUUGUGUGGCCUGUGGACAGGUUUUAUUAUAUGUAUUUUUUUGAAAAAGUGAUUGCUAGCCAUAUUGAAACACUGUGUUCAAAAAAAAAAAAAAAAAAAAUCUGGCCUUUCCUGAGAACUUGGGGUAUCUAGCCACACUGAGCUGGGCUCCUAAGUGGCCCACCAUUCCAGGAGCCAGUGGAGUCCCUGCUGCCCUUGAGCAUAUGUGUCUUCAUCCCCACCUGGCCAGCCUCAUUCACUGUUAUCACCUGCCUGGCCCUGUGGCCUGAGCACUUGGGACCCAUCCCCAAGUCUGUCUGUUAUUUUACUGAUGGGGACACUGGAGACCUGGUUUAAGACUUGUGGACGUGGAAACUGAGAGAACUCCCCACCCCGCCCCUUUCCGGCAGCUCCAGGCUCUGCUGGCCCCAAACAGCUGGGCCAACAGGAAAGGCUGAGGUGUUGGCCCUCACCCCACCCCCCCAACCCCACGGUGGAAUGUGCCCCCUCCCCACUCCCAACCAUUUAAUUUUCCAGAUUAAAGAUUCCAGGCAGGCCAGGGCAUAUUUCCCACUCCGUGUCUGGGGCAUAUUUUCUCCUUCAAGUCAUUACAGGCUCAGCUCUCCAGCAACCCCGGGUCUUGAAGGCGGAGCCGCUUUUCCUGACAGCCCCGGGGUGCUCAGACACCAGGCUUCCUCUGUUCCCUUUCCAUAUGCCCUGCUCUAGCCUUUGGUCUGGGUGCAGCCUGUCAACAUUAAAUAAGCACUUCUUGUGGUUCACUCAUAACAAUUCUUUAGAUCUUGGGAGCCAGGCUGUGGAGCCCUGCAUAUGUAUAGAUCUCAUUUUCACACAACAGGCUGCGCAGCAGAUGGGAGACCCAGACCAGCCUCCAACAUUGAGCUCUGAGUUAAGAUGCGGGAAACUAGGUGGCUUUUAACCAGCCCGUACUGCUGCCAGUGCUCAACCUUAGAGAAUUUUCACAGGGAAAAAGAGAAAAAAAAAAGAAAGGAAAAAACCCAAACCAAUAACAACAACAACACACACAAAACCAACAAAACCACAGUUUUCCUUGCUCCCCCCAAACCAGAUGGCAGAUGGUAUGGAACCAAUAAAACACAGAUUCAAACGUUUGUUUAUUUAACUUUGAAUGUAAUAUGGCUUUGUGGUCCCUUGCAAGGAAACACCAACCUUCCAACCAAAGAAAUGACGGAUUACAGUCAAACCUCAGGGAGGCAGCUACAGGAGAGGUUCCUGGGGACAAGGAAGGAGGGGCCAGGGACAAUUGAUGGCUGGACCCCAAGCCUCGUGGCCCAUUUGCCUUUCUGGGUGAAGGCCUAGGAGAGCUUUCCGGAGUGCUGGCUGAUGCUGCCUUUGUGGCUGGUCUUGCGUUGAGAUUCAGUCCAAAAGGCAGCCAGCCGCAUGAGGAAUGUUUCUGCGUCAUUUCUGAAACAGCUGUGAAGAUGUCGAUCUGGGCCACCGGCACAAAAGACCAUGAGAAAAAGGCCUGAGCACUGGAGCAAAGGCUCUUUCUUGGCACUUUGGGUUUGUGCUACCAGAGGAGAGCUUUGUGAUGCAAUGUGGUUCCCUUUUUGCUUUGGCUUCCAAGAAGCCCAGAGCCAAAUUAUAUGCUCAGUUGAAAUAACUAUCUAUGUUUGUUAAAAAUGCUUUUGGUUACAAGUGGCAGAACCCCAACCCCAACUACUUGAAGUAGAAAGAUAAUCUAUCACGUCAAGUAAGUGGAUUUGAGGGAUGGUUGAAUUCAGGGACUCAGGUUUCCCAGGGCUCCCUUUCUGGAUCUCAAAUUGGCUUUCUGCACAAGGCAGCCCCAAACUGCCCCAAACUUAUAUGCGAUAGGCUUGGCAGCCCCACCAGAAAGAGGGUCUUUUCCACCAGCUCUGUCAGCAAAGGCCAUUUGGAGGAGGUUCUGGCACCUCCUGCUUGGCGCAUAUGUGCAUUUUUGAACCAAUCACAGUGGCCAGAGUCUUGACGUACUCUGAUUGGCCAAGCCUGGGCCAUGUGACUAUCCUAUAGGUAGAAGAGGGGUCAGAUUAGCCCUACCCUAAGCUCUUGGAAUAUAUUCUACAUAGGAAAUGAGGGGAAGGGGGAGAGGGGAGGGGGAAGGCAAGUGAUCCAAACAGAUGUCAAUUAGGACCUGGGAUUCUGGCGUAGCUUUCUCUUCCCCCUACUUCAUUGUGUCUCUCUUUUUUGAAUGGUGUUAGUAAAUGUGUGUUUUACAUGGUGACGUAGUUCUAAAAGUUUUUGAAAAGGGAAAGUAACUUACUCGGAAUGAGUGAAUGAACAAGUGAAAGCCUGAGCAUGCUCUAAAAUAGAGUUCCUUGGCAAAAUUGAACUGUCAUCGACUCGAAAUGCCAGAGCUGGAGGGAGCUGUGGAGCUCAAACUGUUCACACCACUUGGAUUGUAGAUGAGAUCAUGGAGGCCCAGACAGGGUCUGCUUUGCCCAAAGCCUACCAGCAAACCAUCUGCAGAGGCUGGAACCCAGGCCCUGAUUUCAGGCCCAGGGCUCUUCCUGUUCCCUGUCUGUAGCUUCUCAUCUUUCUAAGUCUCUUUCUUUCUCUGGACCUGACCCCACUUUCGCUCUCCAAGCCCUUGUUCUGGAGUCUUGCUGUGAGUUAGCUGGUGGAAAUUUCUUGCCAAGGCUUCGACUGAUUAGAGUGAAACUAAAUUUCCCCAAGAUUAUUUGGGACUUGCAGAUCCAAAAGAAUGCACCUCUAAGAAUGAUCCCUCUAUCAGUUUUUUAAAUGCUGAGUAGCAAAGUAGUACAAAUGGAGCAACUUGAAUCAACACACACAUUUAUCAUCUCAGUUGCCAUGGGUCAGGAGACCAAGCAUGGCUUAGCUGAGUCCUCUGCACCAGAUCUCACAAAACUGCAUCCAAGGUCUUGGCUGGGUUGCAUUCUCAUCAGCAGAUUCAGCUGGGGAAGAUUCCCACUUCCAAGCUCAUUCAGGCUGUGGCUGAAUUCACUUCCUUGUGGCCAUAUGACCGAGGGCCCUGUCCUGGCUGGUGGGGAGUUGGAGGCCAUCCUAGAGCUGCCCACCCACAGUUCCUUGCCAUAUGGGCUUCCUCAACACAGCCACUAACUUCAUCCAGUGGGCAAAGAGAAUCUCUCAUUCCAGUCUGCUGGCACGGAACUCUCGCUAAAGCAACAUCGUCAUGGGAUGCAGAACCUAACACCCUUGCCAUACAAUAGAACCAAAUCCUGGGAGUGUCAUCCCAUCACCUUUACCAAAGCCUGCUGAUCAGGAGCAAGUCACCAGUCCUGCCAGAGGUGGGGGUUAUUAGGGUGACAUUAGGGUCUUCCUCCUCAUCCCCUCACACCUUGGUGAAUCAUCUAUCAUGUUCCUAUCUCUAUUCAACAGGAAGCCCCAGCUCCAUGCCAGGCAGCACACGGGUCUCUGCAAACAGCCACGUGGGGCUGAUGAGCUUCUGAGCAGACAGAGACCCAACAACAAGGUCAAUGCCAAAGGCUGUGUGUUUGAAGAGUCAGGAGUCACAGAGGAUAGAGCAUCUCCUUGGGCUGGGAGGGCAGGGGGGUCAAAACCAGCUUCCCAAAGGAGUUGAUGCUGGCACAGCCUUGGUGGAUGUAUAGGAAGUUGACAGGAGAAUGAAAAGGGUGACAAGGAAGGCCAAGAUAUGGAGGCAGAGGUCGAGGGGGAUUUGGGGAGCCACAAGGAAUCUGAUGUGACUGACAGGAACGCAUCAGGGUCCUGGAGGCGAGGCCAAAUCACAGAGGGACUUAGAAGCCACCUGUAGAAAUGAAGUGUGUCUUUCUUCUGUGGUCCAGGGAGGGCCACCAUGAGUCCAUAACAGGAGAGCUGGGGGCGGUGGCAUGAUGAGGGAGAGCCUGCAAGCGGGAGCCUGAGCAAGUAAGUGGCUAUGGGUGGGAGACAAGCCUGGCUGGUCAGCCCUGAAAGGGAUCACCACACCUCCACCCCCCAAAAAAGCCCUGGGGGAGGCAGACCUUCUUAGAGCCCUUUCAGGCAGCCAGGCUACCCGAGUGAUGAGUUCUGCAGCCUAGAAGCUGAAGGAGAGAAGAAAAAAGUCCCAACAAGCUCCGUUUCACUGCCCUUGACCUUGCCGCAGAGCUCUAAGUGCAAAAUCUGUCAUCUAUUAAUCUGUUAGAAGUUGACAAAAGGGACUUUGAUCAGAGGUUGUUUUUUCCCCGCUUCUUAAGUUUCCUGAUGACACAUAAUAGCCCAUUUCAGCCGGAGGGCCGGAAGCACGGCCAUCAUUCUUUUGCUCACUUCAACCCCAGCGGCCUCCUGCCCCUGUGGCUUUCCCCCCACUCCGAUAUUAAUUGGCUUGUAAGUGGUUACAUGUGUUCCUUUUUAUGUGUCGGUUGGAGUCUGUUACUUGAACUUCACAGCUACUCAGGAACACAGGAGUGAUGCUCUGGGCCAGAGCCCAGGCCAUGUCACCUCCACCUCUGGAUUUUUUUGCUCCCUCUAUCCCCGAGGCCUUGGUGCCACCCACCUUCAGCCCCACCCCCACCCCAUCUUGCUCCUCUGAGCUGGGCCCUGUAACUUUGCAGGCCAGCUCUUGCAAACACAGAGCUGAGAGCCAGGAGAAACCCAUGGGAGCUGCACGCUGAAGCUGCUGAUUUUAAAGAAACUAAACCCUGGGGAGGGGGUGGGAGGGAGAGAAUUAAAAAAAAAUGAAAAUAGCAUUUGUUGAGGCUCUGUUACAUACAUAUUUCUUACAUGUAUACUCUCAUUGCAACCUCAAAAUAACUCUGGGGUUAGGAAUCCCAUGGGCAAGUUUUCAGAUGGGGAAACUGAGGCUCUGGGAGACCAAGCAGAGACAGCGCCAGGGCCAGCUUGCCUUGGACUGUGUCCUGCCUCUGACACUUGCCAGCUGUGGUCUUGAGUUCGUUGUUUCACUUUCCUGUGUCUCAGAUGCUUUUCAAUAGUGGGUCUAAUCAUGGUACCUACUUCCGUGGGCUUUCGUAAAUUGAUAUCCUGCUUUCAGGGGCUUAAAAGAGUGUCUGGGAUACAGAAAGCACCUGGUAAACACCAGCUGCUGCCCCUCCGUGGGGUAGUGUCACCUGGUGGUUUAGAACACUGACCUGGAGUGAGGCAUUCUUGGUUUGAAUUCAGCUACACCCAUUCACUGUGUGAACUUGAGCGAGUGGCUUAUUUUCUCAGUGACUGCUCCCCACCCCCCAUCUACAAAGCGGGGUUAUUCCUGAUGGUUGAGGGUCCCUCAGUGAAAGCGUUAGUUCCCCGUGUGAUCACCUGGAAGGGGAUCUCCACUAACAAGCCUCAGGCAACCCCACAGAACUUUUUGUCUGAUCUUUAAUGACCCAUUUUAAGUAUGUUUGGACUUUCAAAAAUUAUAAUAUUGGAGUUCUCAUCAUGGCGCAGUGGUUAACGAAUCCGACUGGGAACCAUGAGGUUGCGGGUUCGAUCCCUGGCCUUGCUCAGUGGAUUAAAGAUCCAGCGUUGCCAUGAGCUGUGGUGUAGGUUGCAGACUCGGCUCGCAUCCUGCGUUGCUGUGGCUCUGGCACAGGCCAGCGGCUAUGGCUCUGAUUAGACCCCUAGUCUGGGAACCUCCGUAUGCCAUGGGAGCUGCCCAAGAAAAGACAAAAAAAAAAAAAAAAAAAAAAAAAAAAGACAAAAAAAAAUAGUAUCAUCAGAGGGAAGCUAUGGCACCCAAAAAACCAAAAGCAGAUUGUAAAAAGAAAUAGAGCUCCUGAAAAUGAAAAUUAACAGACUCCCCCCAAAGUUUUAUAUAACAUUUGGAACAUGAGGCCAACUCUCCAAAAGUAAAACAAAAGGAUAAACAGACUGAAAAUAGGAAAGAUAAGAAAAUUGCAGGAUCCAUCUUCAGAUAUUCAGCAUCCAAAUAGUAAGAGUUCCAAAAAGAGGGGGGAAAAAUGGAGACAACACAGGGGAGGCAAUAUUCAAGGAAAUAAUACCGAAAUAAAAUUCCCAGAACUGAAAUCAUGAGUUUCUUUGUUUGAAUCCACCACAUGCUUUACAUAGCAUAUGACAGAAAGACCCACAUCAAGGCAGAUUAUUGUGAAAUUUUAGAAUACCAGGAUAAAGAGAAUAUUGAAAACUUCCGGAAAGGAAAAAAUAAAAAGCAAAAACAAGACAUGUAUAAAGGAUCAGGGUAUGGGAUAAUGCUGGAUUUCUCAACAACAGUCCUAGAAGCCAAUUUAUGCCCUCAGAUUCUAUACCCAGCCAAACUAUGAAUCAAGUGUGGGCUUCCCAGUUGCAGCACUGAAAACUAGAAGCAAAGAAGCAACAUUUUCAAAAUUCUGAAGAAAUGUGAUCUGCAAUGUAGAGUUUACACUCAGCCAAAUAACACUCCAGCAGAGGUUCUAAGACAUUUUAAAAAAUGCAAAUUCCUCCCAAAUCUGCCUUCCAUUUUCCCGGACCCAUGAUGCUACGGGAGGGGGUGUUCUGCUAAAAUGAAGGACUCCACCGAGAAAGAGGCAGAUGUGGGAGCCAUAAAGCAGGUGAUCCAAUGGUGGAGAAAGAGAAGGAUUCAUAAGAGGAUGCCAAGAGAUGCCAGGAUUGCCACCACGGCACAGAGCACCAUCUCUUUCUGCCACUGGCGCUGUGCAUCCCCUGACAGUUGACUGACCCACCUGGCUUCCCUCAGUCACCCCCCACUGCAGCUCCUGGGCCAGCCUUCUCCCACUCUCCAACAGGGCAAUGGAGGUUUGGGGAGCCCUCUGUGCCCCCAUAGGAAUUGAAGAAGAUUCUGUUUCUUCCAUCCAUGGUCUCAGCUUGAACUCCCCACUGCCAUUGCCUCAUCUUUUAAACAUGACAAUUACAGCACCAAUGUCAAGAGGUCAUUGUGAGGAUGAAAUGAUUGAAUGUUUGCAAAGCACUUAGCAGGGCAUCUGGCACGUGGUCAAGUAAUGUUGGUAUUUGUUAAGUGGAACCCAUUAUGUAAUGAUGUGAAGGUAAACUUGUAGUAGGUUGGAAAAACAUCAGCUUAAACUUCAGCCACUGCUGAGGGGACUUCUCCAGCUCCCCAUUGUCCCGUAUACCUAGAUACUCCCAAAUGUGUUAUUCUAGAGGCAUCUCAAUUUGUGAUGCCCGUGUGGUUGGACCACAUCAUUUGUUGCAGAAUGUGCUUUGGCGAGUCCUCUCCUCAUCCUGCCAGGCUUGUUCUGCUGUCCUUUCCAGAGUCACCUUGACACCAACCCUCCUGUCCCACCCAUCCUCCACUCUAGCCACCUCCUCCAGUCAGCCCCUCAGGGCUUCAUCUGGACCCUCACUGGCCGAGCCGUCCUUCUAGCCUGUUUCUGCGCACUCCUUCAGUCUCAGCUGGGCCAUCAUUUCUGCAAAGAAGCCUUCCCAGGCCCCAAAGGUGACCCAUGACACAUUCUCAUGACCACAGAGUAUGCUUAAUUCUUGCACUCAGCAUGACCGUUGCAAUUCGCUGUGUCUGUCGAUCAUUCAUUUAACACACACUUGUUGCACGCCUGGCAUAUACCAGGCACUGUUCCUGGUCUUGACUGUACAGCGAUGAGGCAAAUAGAAACUCCUGCCACUGGCAGGGUGAGUGUAUUAUCCAGCAAUUAUUGGAUGUCUUUGCCUUCCUAACCAUUAGCUCCAUUGUUAACGCGUACCUGCUGGAAAACAGGCUUUAAUAAAUAUUUGCUGAGAGAUAAGCCGCGGGGACAUUGUCGCCUCUGCCAAGAGAGUGAAGAUGGGGUUGGGGCACUAUCACCCCCUUAUGAAGCGGGUAAAGAUCUCCGAGAGGCUGGCGCUGGCAGGAAGGAAGCGGAGGUGCUGACAAGCAGUUUCGAACAGUUUAGCAGGAGGUUAAAAGAAGAAAAGAGAAGCCCCACCCAGGUGGAAGGUCACUGUGGUUUCCUCGGCCAUGUUCCCCUGCCCCCACAUCCCCUCUCCAGCCCUGUUCUUCUGGCCAUGCUUGUGACCCGCCAGGCCGGCCUUCCACAUGAGCUGGGGCUCAAGGGCUUGCUGGGGUGGGUGGGGGUGGGGGGACGUUCGCCAGUGGGUAACCCCAUGACUAAUCCAGAGAAACUGUUCUGGCCCAGCGGUUCACCCCAGGCUUGUUUGUGUCUAAUUUCCUGGGGCAAAUGGGCCUCUUAUUUUCACUUUGAGGUUUAGGGUUUCCCCUUGAGCUGGUGGGGAGACAGGCCAGGAUGUUUUGCAUGAGUGUGGAAAGUCUUGGAGUUGGAAGUUAGGGAGGAGGUGGAUGCCAAGGGCUGGAGUGCUCAGCUGAGCCAGCCUCCCGCUGAGGGGCUUGGUGUAACCCUUAUUUCUUCCAAGAGCACUUCGCAGGAGAAUCUAGCAGGAACACCACAGGAGACAGAAUGAGUUAGUUGUUCCCCCCCUCCCCCCAGGGGAAAAGUGGGGAGAAGACUAAGAAUUCAGAAGCACAAAACCCUCUGUAGGUGAGAAGCAAUAAAGAGGACCAUCUUUGCACGAGUGCUGAGAGGGACACUGAGCUCAGCAAAGAGUAUGCCUCUCACAUGCGUUUUAGAAGGGAGCUGGAGGAACCUGGGCUCUCAAAGCACAUCUCCCUGGGUUUGGGCCCUGCUCUCUUGCGUCUGUCCCAUAAACAGUGUUUUUUGUUUUUCUUUUUUUCUGUUUUUUUCCAAGGGUCCACUCUGUGUUGGGCUCCAAUGGUACAGACGCAAAGAGCUAAGCGCUGUGCUUUGUCUUUGAAAAAGUCUCUUAACAUCCCUGAUCCUCACGUUGCCGCCACGAAAAUGUUCUUUGAGGCUCCUGAGGCUUACACAGGACAGUGGGCUGCAUGUGAAAAAGGGCUGUGGCAUAUGUGAUCAAAGAGCAGAACCCUCUUAAACAUUCUCCCAUUAACCACCCUGCCAGAUUGCUUGAGGCUUUCCAUGCCCCUCGGCACGCAUUGUGCCCAGGACACACCAAACCCCUGAAGCUCGCGGGUAUUCUUCAGUUUUCCCUGGGCACAUCUGUUCCCAUCCGUCGAGCUGUGUGUGCUUAUCAAGCGUUACUUGUGUUUGCUCUCAACCUGUUCCUCUUACUCUAAUUGAAGAGUGCAACUGUUAUUCCACAAGGCAAUGGAAUAUGAGGGCAAAAAAAAAAAAAAAAAAAAAAUCGAGUUGCUUCUUCCUCAGCUAAGUUGAGUGCAUGGGAAAGAAUCAGAUAGUUCACCAACUUUCUGGAGAAUUUGUUGUAAGUAAUAUAACUGCAAAGGGUUGGGGGGGGAGAAAACCCCCAUAAAAUUGAAUCUCUGGCUUUCCAUUUUCUGUUCUCACUCGACUUGAAAGAAAACAGAGACUGAGUUGUCAACAGAACUUUGUGGGUAUGGUUUUUUGGGGGGAAUGAUAACAAAGGGUUCCAAUCAGUUAACCUAAAGGAUUCCCUACUUUCUAUGACUAUUUGGGCCAAAUGACACUCACAAAGCCAGCUCUCAUCAGAUUCAAGAGAGCAGGUCCGUGCCUUGAAUAUCUCUCAGUGAGCUGGAAAGGGAGGGUGUCAGGGCUCACUCAAGGCAUGUGGUUAGGGUGAGCCCCUCAGAUCUGGGAGGGGCUUCGUGGUCACAGGCCCAGAGUUCUUCCUGUAGUGGGUGUAGCCACCACAGCCCCACUGCCAAACAGCUGACUGGGCUCCCUGUGGAUGCCGCUGGGUACUCACCGCCACUGAGGCCAGCACCUGGCUCUUUUUGAAUUGUAUUCUGUACCUGCAAUAUGCCAAGCACUGUGCUGCUAGGUGCUGUGAUACAGGAGUGGGAAAACCAGAGACCUUCUGGAACAGCCACAGGAAUGAAACUUCGCUGGGUGAUUGAUGGGCUCAGGCAGGGGUUGGCAAACUUUUUCUGUAAAAGGCCAGAUAGUAAAUAUUUUAGGCUUUACUCUGCCAUUUUAGCACCAAAGCAAAGCAGCCACAAACAACACAUAAACAAAUGGGGGUGGCUAUGUUCCAGUGAAACUUCACAGAAACAGGCAGCAGGCCAAAUUUGACCUGCAGGCAGUAGUUUGCCUACUUCUGAACUAAUGUGUUAAUACUUUUGGACGGGCGGCCGGUUCUGGAUCACUCCAAGAAGGUGCCUUCCAAAUUGUCUCCUUGAGGAUUCAUCCUUGAACGCUGGGAGUGUGUCUGGAGGGUCUCCAAAUGCCUUUCUCACCCUCUGCAAAGUUUCAUUCCUUUUGCUUAUGUGGAGCUGGAUGUGUCAGAUCCCAAGCUGGCUUAAUUAGCUUUUCCAACCUGCUUCCCUAAUGAUGAAGGGUGAAUUCCAUAGUAUUCAGUGGUCCCUUUUUAACAGAUUCAACAAACACGCCAAAGAGGCGACCUGUUCGGCACAGCUGGACUGGGAGGGCAAAGUCUCUCCUCCUCUCAGGACUUGAGUUUGCCUCUCUGGAAAAUGAGAGGGCUGGACCAUCAGCUUCCCAAACCUGAACACUCACUGAAGGAUGAAGGGUGCUGGUUAAAGACACCGAUUCCACAAAGAUACAUAUACAUUCUUUUUCUCAUAUGUAUGAUGGGGUCUCUUCGCUGUACAACAGAAACUGACGGAACACUGUAAAUCAACUAUACUUUAAUAAAGACAUUUUGUUUCAAUAAAUUGGGUUAACUCUUUGAAUCAAAUGAGAGCAGGCUUUACAAUUCAGAUUCCUAGGCCCCCCACUUUGGGCCCAUUGUUGCACAUUCCAGAGGUGGCCUGGGGACUUUGGACUAUUAGCACAUGUCCCAGAUGUCUCUGGAGGAGGACGCUCCAAGGAGCGGAGAAUGUGGCCUCUUGAGGCUCUGAUGUUCAGGGGAUGGCAGCAGCGUCAAGGGAGCCCGUCUCCUUCUCUGGGCUGGGCUGUGGUGGGACAGAGAAGGGUGGUGGUGAGGAUCAUUAUCUUGUCUGCAAGGACGCGGCAGGAUGUGGUUGACCCGAACUUCCCGCGAAGGGGGGCGGGGACCAGAGAACAUGGGGAGAGAUUCGUAGCCCGGAUGGCAGCUCAGCCCGAAGGCCGAGACUGUGCUCAGUGGGGAGUGGGAAGUGAGGGCCUGGCCCCACCUCCUCGCUCUGACCUUGGCAGGUCAUCUCGCACCUCCCAGAGCCUCAGUCUCCUCAUGUGUAGAGUGGGGAUGCUGAUGGGUCAUUGCGAGGACACCAUAAGGAAUGGUGACGAUGACAAAAUUUCUCUCUCAAUUAAUGCCAGGGAAAUUCUCUUUCCUUGGGAUGAGCAUCCCCGUGAAAAGGGCCAAGGCCAAGGCCAGGAACCUGCUUCACAGGGUGCAUUUUAUUGAUGACUCACUGCUUUGCCGUGGAGUGAGUGAGACCCUUGGCUUUACUGGCUUCGCUUUGCUUGACUGUUUAAUGGGUUGCUUCCCCUGGCCCUCUCAGGAUUCUUAAAGGCUGGAUGAGACUCUGAAUUUGGAAGUGCCCUUGUGUGGUCAGGGACUAUGGCAAACAUGUCCCAUACCAUCUUUGUUAGGCAGGGAAGUGUCUGACUUUCAUAAUGUCCUUGUUUUCCAUUUGUCCUUUUUUAGACAAAGGAAGUAAAAAAGGAUACACCCUGAAAGACUUUGUCAAAUACCUUCUUCUCCCUUAGAUUUGUUUUCCUUGGAGUUUAGCAGCUGAUUAAGAAAUGGCCACUGGAUAUCAACAGUGUGUGUAGCCUGGUGCCAGGUGUGGGAAGGGGGGUCCCUAACCAUGAGAAGCUCACACCUAGUUUGGAAGGUAACACAUGUGAAACAGCAAUGUAACGAUGCCAGUGGUGGUGAUGAUGCUGGAAAUGCUGGGUACUGAUCACGCCUCACACACACAAACCAUCGUACAGUUAUAUAAGCAGCCUUAUGACCAUCCUCUUACUUCAUAUUCAAAACUAUCCCCCAAAAGCCCCCAAUUUCAAGGAUGAACAAAUGGAGAGUCAUGACUUCUCUGAGAUCAGAUAAGAACAGAGCUGAGGUGGAUUCACCAGUGCCAUUGUCCCAAGACACCCCAGCUUUCUUCCUUGAAAUUGCAACAAAGCAUUGCAAAAUGCAUACCGUCAUUAGAGAGUUACAUGAGUCAUCGCCAUAUGGGAAGUGAAUGUGAAAAGGCAGGUCAGGAGAUGGGGGGGGGGGGGGCGCAGUGAUCAGAAGAGGCUCCGAGGAGAAAGGAGCAACUGAGUGGAGCCCAGGAGGCUGUGUGGUAUUUGGAUGGGAUCUGGAGAUGGGAUCGCCACAAGCGGUGGAGAUGGGAGUCUGAGUGGCACUCUGGGCAGGAGGAAACAUGUAGGUAUGAAAGGAAGCGAGUGCAAGGUGUGUCAGGAAACACCAGACCCUCAUUUGACCAGAAUGGGGGUGCAUACAUUAGACCUGCUCGAGAAAAGGAGGCAUUGGGGAUGGUUUCCCUUCUUUUGCCAUAGGUGGGAGGGUCCCACCAUCUUCCCUUUGACAUCAUUGUCCCUUUCAACCCCAAGUCCGUUUAUAAUCAAAUCAAAGAGUAAUCAAAGCAAAGGACUGUUUGCAGUCUUAGCCGAAAGACGCAGCCUGCCACUUCCGACUUUCGUUUAAAAGUGUCAGAGAGCUGCUGAAACAGGAACAGCACUGAGGCAGCGAGAGCAGCCCUGACUCACCAGGAGCACAUCAAAGAAAUAGCAGUGAUAAGGGGCUGGCUGUAAUGGUGCGUGUGAGCAAAGUUUUCCUGACACCCCUUGAGGCCUGGAAGGGCCCUUCUGGGCAGCCUCAUUGUGGAAAGCAGCAUGCGGUUUUCAGAAUCUGGAUGACUCACCACAUGGGCAGGGUUUGGGGACAGAGAGGUAGUCGUGGUCUGCUGGGAUGCUCGACCCAGAGCCCAGGCCUGGGGCCCUGGCUCACUGCACAUGUCAGGUCUCCAGUGAGGUGAGAUUCACCGGUCCAACCAAGCAUCCAUCCGUGUGUCCAUCCAUCCAACCAUCUGUCUAUUUAACAAAUUAUUCCAAGCACCCACUUUCUGCAGCCCCUCUGCGAAGUGCAAAAUGAUGUCGUGGUGACCAAAAGACACAGGCCCUGGCCUCAUGGGGCAGUCUAGUGAGGGAGAGAAGGGUUGAAGAAAUGAUGACAUGGGUAACUGAGUCACUGCUGCAAUACGAGCUAGGAAGGGAAAUACAGGGACUCUGAGGGUGGAUGUGUAAUAGGAGAGCUGACCUGGUCUGGGAAACCGGCUGAUGAGCAGGGGCAGAUGCUAAAAAUGGAUGAGACAGACGAGUAACUGUGCAAUCGGUGUCUUAGCACCAUCUCCCCCAUCAUCAGGGACAGUAAGAGCAUAGAACUCACCCUUGUUCUUUCAAACUCCUUCACCCCUCCCCUCCCCCUUUUUUUCUACACACACACACAGCCUAUGAUGAGUUAAUGGAAAAAUCAUGUGCUUUUGGUUCUCACAGACUUGGGUUUAAAUCCCACAUUCUCAAUGUACUAUCUCUGUGGCUUUGAAUAAACCAAACGGGAUCUGUUUUUGCUGUGUCCCCUAAGUUUUGGCAUAUUGUGUUCUUGUCUCAUUUGUCUCUAAACAUUUUCUAAUUUCCCUGGUGACGUCUUCUUUGAUCCAUUGGUUGUUUGGAGUGUGUUUGUUUGAUUCCCACAAGUUUGCGAAUUUUCCAGUUUUCCUCCUGUUGUUAAUUUUUAACAAAAUCUUGUUGUGAAGAUACUUUGUAUAAUAUUUUUAUAAAUCUGUGGAGACUUAAUUUGUGGCCUAACACAUGGUCUUAUCCUGGAAGAUGUCUCAUGUGCACUUAAGAACACAUAUUCUGUUGUUAUGUCAGAUGUAAAGCAUUCUGUGUACAUUGUUAGAUCCAGCUGGUUUCAUGUGUUGUUCGAGUCCUCUGUUUCCUCACCUCCUUCUGACAAUUUUACCCAUUACAGAAGAUGAAGAAUUCAUAGCUCCUGUCAUGAUUAUAGACCUGUCCAUUUCUCCCUUCAGUUCUGUCCAUGUUUGCCUCAUGUAUUUUGAUGGCCUGUUAUUAGGUGCGUAAAUGUUUGUAAUUGUCAUAGCUUCAUGCUGUAUUCAAUCUUUUAUUAAUAGAGGCACUCCCACUCUCUUCUGGUUUCUAGUUGCAUGAUCUAUUUUUUCUAUCCUUUCACUUUCAAACUAUCUGUGUCUGAAUAUAAAGCGAGUCUUUUGUAACUAGUAUAUGUUGGGUCAUGGUUUUUAAUCCAUUCUGCCAAUCUCUCCGUUUUCAUUGUUGAGUUUAAUUUGCUUACAUUUAAUGAUAUCACUAAUAAUAAGGCUUACUCCUAUCAUUUUGCUUUUGUUUUCUACAUGCUUUACAGGUUUUGUGUCCCUCAUUUCCUACAUUACUGUCUUUUCUGUUUAGUUGGGGAUUUUCUGUAGUGAAAUGUUUUAAUUCCCUUCUCAUUUCCUUUUAUAUAUAUGCUAUACCUAUUACUUAUCAGUUAUUGAUAUCAAAAAUUACGUUUUUACACUAUGCAUCUAAAACCAAAGUAAUUGUUGUUUUUUAGUGCAUUAGUCUCAAAUUACGUAGAAACUGUAAUAUGACUUUAUGAACCAAAAUUACAGUAAUAUUAGUUUUCAGAUAGGUAAUAGCUUUUAGCUUUUAAAUUUAAAAUAUUUGCCAGCCCUUUAUGGCCGCCUGGGUUUUUAGAGGAAUUGGUCUAUGGGUUGCAGCUGCCUAGAUAUAAGCCAGGAUUCUGGAAGAGUUGGUUGGUCCCUGAGGAGGAGUCCUGCACAUCACAGCCCAGGACAUCCAAGAGGGUGGAUAUUGCACCAUGGAUGGAAGUGGUUUUGAAACUGGAGGGCUUUGAAAGAAAGCAGGGUCUUAUGUAUUGUUAUAGCUCUCAACAUUUUCAGACCAGGAGAUGCUCCUUAGCCCUAGGGGUCUUUGCUCAAGCUCUUCCCCCUGCUGAGAAUGUCCUAUCUCCUUUGUGUACUUGCUGUCAUCCCUAAUCUUCCAAGUGUGCCUUAACAUCUCCCCUUAUUUCCUAAUGAAAUAAUUAGGCACGUGAGCAAAGAAAUGUAUAAACCUAU